rnacentral:rRNA from 1 species
GUAGUCCAUGCCGUAAACGAUGAAGACUGGCUGUUGGGCAUCUAUUGAUGCUUAGUAGCGAAGCUAACGCGUUAAGUCUUCCGCCUGGGGAGUACGGCCGCAAGGUUAAAACUCAAAGAAAUUGACGGGGGCCCGCACAAGCGGUGGAGCAUGUGGUUUAAUUCGACGCAACGCGAAGAACCUUACCUAUCCUUGACAUCCUAGGAACCUGCUGGAAACAGUGGGGUGCCUUCGGGAGCCUAGAGACAGGUGCUGCAUGGCUGUCGUCAGCUCGUGUCGUGAGAUGUUGGGUUAAGUCCCUUAACGAGCGCAACCCUUGUCCUUAGUUGCUAACAGGUCAUGCUGAGAACUCUAAGGAGACUGCCGGUGAUAAGCCGGA